GCCCGGGUGGUGGAAAUGGUAGACACAAGGGACUUAAAAUCCCUCGGUUUUUAUCGUACGAGUUCAAAUCUCGUCCCGGGUA
rnacentral:tRNA from 1 species